GAUGAAGAACGUAGCGAAAUGCGAUAAGUAGUGUGAAUUGCAGAAUUCAGUGAAUCAUCGAAUCUUUGAACGCACAUUGCGCCCCUUGGUAUUCCAUGGGGCAUGCCUGUUCGAGCGUCAUUUGUACCUUCAAGCUUUGCUUGGUGUUGGGUGUUUGUCCUGAGGGACUCGCCUUAAAGUAAUUGGCAGCCAGUGUUUGGUUUUGAAGCGCAGCACAAGUCGCGAUUCAAGGCUAUACACCAGCUUCCACAAGCCUUUUUCACUUUUGACCUCGGAUCAGGUAGGGAUACCCGCUGAACUUAAGCAUAUCAAUAAGCGGUGGA
rnacentral:misc_RNA from 1 species